rnacentral:rRNA from 1 species
CGCCCAACAGCUAGCCCACCCAAGCAAUUUCAACAAACCCCUGUUAAUAACCCCUAAUUACCCCAGUAUUUAAAUUAAACAAACCAUUUUUCCCCCUUAGUAUAGGCGAUAGAAAAGGGAUUACGGCGCGAUAGAGAAAGUACCGCAAGGGAAUGCUGAAAGAGUAAUGAAAUAACCCAGUUAAGCCUAAAAAAGCAGAGAUUCAAUCUCGUACCUUUUGCAUCAUGAUUUAGCAAGUGUACCCCAAGCAAAGAGCACUUUAGUUUGGCGUCCCGAAACUACGUGAGCUACUCCAAGACAGCCUAUUAAUAGGGCGUACCCGUCUCUGUGGCAAAAGAGUGGGGAGAGCUUUGAGUAGAGGUGAUAAACCUACCGAACCUAGUUAUAGCUGGUUGUCCAAGAAAUGAAUAGAAGUUCAGCCUAUUGGCUUCUCUUUUCACCCUAGUUUAACCCCUAUUGAUGCAUUAAAGAAACCAAAAGAGUUAGUCAAAGGGGGUACAGCCCCUUUGAAUCAAGACACAACUUUACCAGGAGGGUAAAGAUCAUA